rnacentral:misc_RNA from 1 species
ACAAAAUAAGGAGCUCUGGCCUCAUUUGGAUGCUGAUACUUCACCCGAUGCACUUGUUGUGAAGCUUCAAGGGAUGAUUCAGCCUAGGAGGAAUCUGUAUAUUGCAACCAAUGAGCCAUUCUAUAACUACUUUGAUAAACUGAGAUCUCACUUCAAGGUUCAUUUGCUUGAUGAUUACAAGGCAUUGUGGGGAAACACUAGUGAUUGGUAUAAUGAGACAAUGCUUUUAAAUAAUGGAUGGCCAGUUGAGUUUGAUGGAUACAUGAGAGUUGCAGUUGACACUGAGGUUCUUUACAGAGCAAAGACGCGUGUGGAAACAUUUUAUAAUUUGAC